rnacentral:rRNA from 1 species
GCCUAACACAUGCAAGUCGAACGGAGUAAUGACUUCGGUUAUACUUAGUGGCGAACGGGUGAGUAACACGUGAAUAAUCUGCCCUGUACGAUGGGAUAACAGCUGGAAACGGCUGCUAAUACCGUAUAUGACCACGCCGAGGCAUCUCGGAGGGGUGAAAGCGCUUAAGCGGUACAGGAUGAGUUCGCGUCCAAUUAGCUAGUUGGUGAGGUAACGGCCCACCAAGGCGACGAUUGGUAGCCGACCUGAGAGGGUGAUCGGCCACACUGGAACUGAGACACGGUCCAGACUCCUACGGGAGGCAGCAGUGGGGAAUAUUGGGCAAUGGAGGAAACUUCCUUACCCAGCAAUGCCGCGUGAGUGAUGAAGGUCUUCGGAUUGUAAAGCUCUUUGAUUGGGGACGAAUAAAUGACGGUACCCAAGGAACAAGCCCCGGCUAACUAUGUGCCAGCCGCCGC